CCUACGGGUGGCAGCAGUGGGGAAUAUUGCACAAUGGGGGAAACCCUGAUGCAGCGACGCCGCGUGAGGGAAGAAGUAAUUCGUGAUGGAAAGCUCUAUCAGCAGGGGAGAAAAUGACGGUACCUGUGUAAGAAGCCGCGGCUAACUACGUGCCAGCUGCCGCGGUAAUACGUAGGGGGCAAGCGUUAUCCGGAUUUACUGGGUGUAAGGGGAGCGUAGACGGUGAUGCAAGUCCGAAGUGAAAGCCCUGGGCUCAACUCCGGGACUGCCUUUGAAACUGGGUGACUGGAGUGCAGGAGAGGUAAGCGGAAUUCCUGGUGUAGCGGUGAAAUGCGUAGAUAUCAGGAGGAACACCAGUGGCGAAGGCGGCUUACUGGACUGUAACUGACGUUGAGGCUCGAAAGCGUGGGGAGCAAACAGGAUUAGAUACCCCAGUAGUC
rnacentral:rRNA from 1 species